GGUUCCUUUUGCUCGUUCAUCACUAAAUCAUGAUGAUAUGUUCAUCUUAGACACCAAGGGGAAGAUAUUUCAGUUCAAUGCAUGCAAAGGAAGGAACAGAGAGUUCAACCUUAGAUCCAACACAUUCACUACAAGAAUUUUGCCUUGAAUGUACCAUUUAUGCACAUUCCCAAUAAACACGUGGUCAGACAAAGAUGCUUAAAACUAGACACUGCUAUGAGUAUAACAACAGAGGCUUUUCUUUUGACAAAUUGACAAAGAUGCCUAUAACCAAACACUGCUAUGGUUAGUUUAUGCAAUUUGACAAAUUGAUAUCAAGGUGCAGAAGCGAAAAAUUAUGGGACUUUUCUUUUGGGACAGGUUCUGACUUUGAAAGAAUUUGUUAAGAGGGAAGACCAUUAACUUGUUCUCAUCGCUUUAUAGAUUAUCUUUACAAGUGCUUUUUGCUAGCCUCAGGUUUACCUUACCUGCUCCUUUGGAUUAUGCCACGUCAUAAACGCAGCUAUUAACUCAGCGUUGUUGAAAAUGAUUGAAAGGCUAUGAGUUAUGAAGAAGGCACGGUCGGAUGAAAGUGCAAUGCUGUCAAAAGUCAGAAGAUCUAUUCUGUUUUCUGGCAGUCAGUUGAACUUGGUUUUACUAUUGCUUUUGACAUUGUCCUGUCUUUGUUUGUUGUUAUUUUGCAUGAAUUUAUGUACUUUGUACAAAAGUUGUGGACUUUCUGUGCUGUGAUUUGUCCCAUUUCCACUGUUGCUUCAUAAGUUAGAGUCAUUAUGUUUUGACAGGAGAAGUUUCAUCUUUCUUUCUAGUUGCAGCACAAACAAAAUCUAUUUCAUGUCAAUUACAUAGAGGCAUUAGAAGUUAUAGGUUAUGUGGAUUCACCUCCAAUUUUGGUUCAUAAAAUAA